GACGGGGGGGGCAAGUGUUCUUCGGAAUGACUGGGCGUAAAGGGCGCGUAGGCGGAUGGUACAGUCAGAUGUGAAAUUCCUGGGCUCAACCUGGGGGCUGCAUUUGAUACGUGCUGUCUUGAGUUCGGAAGAGGGUCGUGGAAUUCCCAGUGUAGAGGUGAAAUUCGUAGAUAUUGGGAAGAACACCGGUGGCGAAGGCGGCGACCUGGUCCGAUACUGACGCUGAGGCGCGAAAGCGUGGGGAGCAAACAGG
rnacentral:rRNA from 1 species